GAUGAACGCUGGCGGUGUGCCUAAUACAUGCAAGUCGAGCGAACAGACGAGGAGCUUACUCCUCUGACGUUAGCGGCGGACGGGUGAGUAACACGUGGAUAACCUACCUAUAAGACUGGGAUAACUUCGGGAAACCGGAGCUAAUACCGGAUAACAUGUUGAACCGCAUGGUUCAACAGUGAAAGACGGUCUUGCUGUCACUUAUAGAUGGAUCCGCGUCGCAUUAGCUAGUUGGUAAGGUAACGGCUUACCAAGGCAACGAUGCGUAGCCGACCUGAGAGGGUGAGCGGCCACACUGGAACUGAGACACGGUCCAGACUCCUAAGGGAGGCAGCAGUAGGGAAUCUUCCGCAAGGGGCGAAAGCCUGACGGAGCAACGCCGCGUGAGUGAAGAAGGUCUUCGGAUCGUAAACCUCUGUUAUUAGGGAAGAACAAAUGUGUAAGUAACUAUGCACGUCUUGACGGUACCUAAUCAGAAAGCCACGGCUAACUACGUG
rnacentral:rRNA from 1 species